UUGGUUUAUUUGGAGGUGUGCGUUGAAUUUGGUUUUGAUUGGUUUGCUUGGAGGUGAUUUGGUUUAUACUUUCUGGAUUUUUGCUGUACCAUUGGAUCAAGUCUUAACCAUUCGGCUGGAGGACGCCUUCCUCUACAUCCCCUCUGUGGUCUGGCACUAUAAUUCUUUGUAUACCCAAUGGUUGGCCCCUGAUUCUUUCAAGUAUUGUUUCCCUAGUAAAUUUCCCUUGAGCAUA